rnacentral:rRNA from 1 species
UGGGGAAUAUUGGACAAUGGGCGAAAGCCUGAUCCAGCCAUGCCGCGUGUGUGAAGAAGGUCUUCGGAUUGUAAAGCACUUUAAGUUGGGAGGAAGGGCAUUAACCUAAUACGUUAGUGUUUUGACGUUACCGACAGAAUAAGCACCGGCUAACUCUGUGCCAGCAGCCGCGGUAAUAGAGAGGGUGCAAGCGUUAAUCGGAAUUACUGGGCGUAAAGCGCGCGUAGGUGGUUUGUUAAGUUGGAUGUGAAAUCCCCGGGCUCAACCUGGGAACUGCAUUCAAAACUGACUGACUAGAGUAUGGUAGAGGGUGGUGGAAUUUCCUGUGUAGCGGUGAAAUGCGUAGAUAUAGGAAGGAACACCAGUGGCGAAGGCGACCACCUGGACUAAUACUGACACUGAGGUGCGAAAGCGUGGGGAGCAAACA